UCCUGGAGGAGGACAGAGAGUGGAAACCAUGGCUGAUCCCAAAGGGUUGCCUUUUACAUCCCAAACCCACUUGGUGAUAACAACUGCACCUGACAUUUCCAGAACCCUCUUGUGGGGGAUUUAAAAAUGCCUUGAGGCCAUGGGACUUUAUGUUCAUAAUGAAUUGUCACAUACACGUGUGAAGGUUGUUUUUCUUCAUCUAUUCGCUGUCAAAGUUGUCUCAUUUGUAUUAAUGAGCACCAUUCUUUGCGAGUAGUCCCCGUGAGUCUUUGAAAACCAUUUUACCCAGAGAGCCUCACCUGAGAAGUUCACCUCCUGCUGGCUUUGUGUUCAUCCAGAGCACCUGCUUCAGGGCUGCUCCCAGGAUGGCAGCCCCCUACACGCUGCUGGUCCUCACCCUGGAUCUAGGCUCCAUCGAGGGAAGGGGCACGGUGCCUUCAGCCCAAAGACGUCAUGGAGACUAUGGGAUCCUCCUGCAGACGAGAGAAGCAAAGGGACAUCCUGAGAGCAUCUCCAAAUGGUCAACCAAAUACAAACAAGAAGGCAUGGAAUCCCUGAGUCUAGACAUCAGCCUUCACUAUAGUCACCUCAUGUGCUCCUUUAGCAAGUUAUCACCAAAAAGUAUCCUGCUUCACCACUUUGAGAAGCUUUAUAAACUGAGCCUGAAAUGCCACAUAAGAGACAUACUGCCUAUGCCAUUCCUGUGCCCUCAGAUGAGGGCAGAUGCGCUCUUAAAUUGAUCGAGGUAAAAGGAACGUUGUAUGUAAUAUAUGCAGAAACGCUGAUACACCCAUUUUCUGACCUCAUGUUGUAUUGGAUUUUGUGGUUUAGCCUCCACUUCUGAACGCAUGAGAAGUGAGCACGGAUAAAGGUGGGCACUAGGUUCUCUGUGGAGCCCCCUGCCCCUCACAAUAAAUAGCUCCCCUAGGUGAUUCCCGAAGGCAGCCGCGUGUUUGGAAAUUCCUCCCCUUUACCUGGCAGGUAGCCUGAGAUGGGCUCAAGCUGUCCAGGAGUAGCUUUGCAGGGUAAGCCGCCACUGGACACGCACCACACCCUGAAGCCUGGCUAUAAGGGAAGGGGACUGAGGGGAGGCAAAGAGGAGCCACCAAGAUCCUGGGUCCGGGGCUGGAGGAGGGGAGGCUGAGAAGCAGGAGAGAUACCCAGCGCUGGGGCCCGGGGCGUGGGGCCUGUGCCGGGUGGUGCCCUGGCCCGUUUCGUUAAAUGUGAGGGAGAGGCACAGAGUACACUGGCCCAGUCGUUUCUCUUGGCUCCUGGAGGAUUAUAAAGGCCUUUGCCAGCUAUAAUAAGUAAAGUAAGUGGGCUGAAUGUUGAACAUUGAAUAAAAUUAAGAAAGAUAAAGAUGGAAAGUAUAAAGAGAAAGGAGGGUUUGCAUGGCGUUGUCAGUCCCAGCUGCCUGCAACUCCCUCCUUCCAAAGCCUUCACCUCUAGGACUCACCUCCACCUGCAGUUUUCCUCUCCACUGGGACUCUCUCUGCCCUCCCUCAAGGGGGAACUUGCUGCUCUCUUGCUCUCCUGGCUUUGGAAGCUCCCCUUAAAUUCAUCCAAGGAAACACAUCUAAGAUUACAGAAGAGAAUAUUCCAGGCACAGAUACAGCUCAGCCUAGGAUACUGUACAUCUGGGUGCACAUGGGCCAAACUGACAGAGCUUCUUGGGCAGUUUCUUUUCUCCAACUCUGUACAAAACCAGGAGACCCAGCCGAAAAGGCCUCCUUUUUGGUCCUUAGGUGUUGCCCUGUUCACAUCCCACCUGCCUUCCCCUUUUAUCCCUUCCCUCCCAGUGCCACUCCUGGCACUCUCAUCCAUCCCCAGCAGUUACAGAGAGAGCUGGGGCCGCCUCUCCGGACAGGGAAUGGAGACUCCUUGUGCAAGUGAAGGACAUUAAUCCAAAGGACACGUCGAGA